rnacentral:rRNA from 1 species
GAUGAACGCUAGCUACAGGCUUAACACAUGCAAGUCGAGGGGAAACGACAUCGAAAGCUUGCUUUUGGUGGGCGUCGACCGGCGCACGGGUGAGUAACGCGUAUCCAACCUGCCCACCACUUGGGGAUAACCUUGCGAAAGUAAGACUAAUACCCGAUGAUAUCCCACGAAGGCAUCCGAAUGGGAUUAAAGAUUUAUCGGUGAUGGAUGGGGAUGCGUCUGAUUAGCUUGUUGGCGGGGUAACGGCCCACCAAGGCAACGAUCAGUAGGGGUUCUGAGAGGAAGGUCCCCCCACAUUGGAACUGAGACACGGUCCAAACUCCUACGGGAGGCAGCAGUGAGGAAUAUUGGUCCAAUGGGCGAGAGCCUUGAACCAGCCAAGUAGCGUGCAGGAUGACGGCCCU